UUAAAUAUAUUAGUUAAAAAUAUUAAAAUUUUAUUUAAAGUUAAAAUUGAUAUAUUUUAGUCAUUAAAUUUUUAAUUUACUAUUAAUUGCAUCGAGAUCUGCUUACCUGAUUGAUUUUAACUUUGAAAUGUGACUUUGGUGUAAUAUACAAGACAAGAACAAAAUCAAGGGAAGAAAAGCAUCGAGUACAAAACAGAAACAUCUGUUAGCUCUUCCUUCCUAUGUCACAAAUAAUUCAUUCGAGGACUCGGACUUUGUAUACAAGUAUAUCAGUAUUUGUCUCAAAGACCUUGGUUAAAUUAUGUAACAAAUACUAUUGGAAAGCUAACCAUUCACAAUUGCAAUAAAAAGCACAACACUUUUUACUUGCAGUCAUGUAAUAAUUAUGCCAAUCUUUGAUACAAAAGUAAUACAUGCAACUAUCUUCCCAAAACUGCUCUCCUUUUUACGUGCAGAUAGGACAACUAUGAAAUUUUGCUAGAUGUUGAAAGCAGCCCUCAAAAAGACCAUUCUCUUUCCAGUAAUAUUCCCCUAAUCUGAAUCCCACUGCCAUCGCAGGAUUAUUUUUCUUCUCUGUAGUGUGUAAUUACAAAAGAAAAUCUGCAUGGGUCAAUCAAUUCAACAGAAAAUCUGUGGAUGCUUCCUUGAAACACCCUUUCUAUGGAAGCUCAACGCUGGAUAUUCGGAGAAGCAUUCUCAUGUGCUUUCUUCUUUUUAGGCAAAGUGACUGAACGAGUAGUGCUUUGAUUAACCUUUGGUACGAUACGCUUGGAGCUUUCAGCAUUGACUGAAGGCCUCCGAGGAACCUGAAAGUUUGUUUCCUGGACCAUAUUGGAAGAGGGUUUUCUUCCAAGUUUUGGAGAUCGAGGUCGUGCCAAUGGAAUCUGCUAUACAUGAUAGAUCAAAAAUUAAAAUGCAUGCAGAGGUAACUACCACAAAAACAUUGGCACCACGACAAGGUUAUAAUAAAAGAACCUUAGAUUUUACUUGCAAAUGUGUUUUCUCCGCUUCCUUUGCAUUGUUUUUCUCUUCGAGCUUCUGAAAGAACUGGCAUAGCAAAUGAAAACAACAUAUCAACAAAACUACAGUGAACUAACAAGGAGUCAAUGAAAAGAGCUAUAGUUUUUAAUCUUGCCUCUUUACGUUUUGCAGCUCUUUCUUCACUCCUAAAGCUAAAAGGAGAGGAUAUAAUAGGAGAUCGUGCUUUGCUUCCACUUGCAGUUGAAGAUUUUGCACGGCUGCCAUAUAAUCAGUUUAGGAUAAUUUAGAUCAUGCAAUAUAUGGUGCAUUUCUGUUUCGGUUGCUAAAUUAUGCAAGCUCCAUAAGGAAAGUGAUAUGGAAAAUGAAUGCAUAAAAAGCUGAUGAGGUAGGCAGCAAAUUCAUGGCUUCAAAGUUAACUUCUAUACUUUCAAGGUAUAUGCAUAAUAUGACAUCAGGGAACGCAUAAUAAAUAUAGCAACAAGUUCCUGAGAAAUGUUUGAGAAAUGAGCUCAUGCUUAUUGCUUGAUUAAUUAAGGUAAGCAUUUAAGGUCUAUAUACAUAUAUGAUCUAUCUUGAAAUUUAGGUAGCACAGUUCUUACUCCCCAGAGAGGGCCUGCAAUAUCCCGCUCGCUAUUGCUCCUCCAGAAACUGAUUUAUUGAAUAGUGAACGAGUUCUUCUAUCCUCUGACUGGAGAUUUAUCGAAGGAAGAAGCUUUGAUAUCGAUUUCCUUGUUGGAUUUUGUGUAGCAGUCGAGCUCUCUUUCAACAUUCUGACAGAACUUUUGUUGGUUUCUCCAGAGCUAGGAGCCAAAUUGAUUGACAUGUGGACAGAUUUUGGAGUUAAUCUCCUUUUAUCGAUGGAGUCUACCACAGAUUUUUUGCUGUUUGGAUUGACAUUUGUUCCACCUUUCAGUUUUGUGGAACUGGCCUGUUUAGUAGAAGACUUUGGGAGUUUGGAAGCUCUGCUAUGACUUGAUGAUUUUGAUGACGAAUUCAUUUGUCUUUUAUUACGUGGCAAAGCCACAUUCUCCUUCUCAGUAGCUUCCUUGUUGGGAAUUUUCUCUUCUGGUGUGGCAGCAAUCUUGUUGCAGUCCUCAGCACUAUCAAGCUGCUUUGAAUUUUCCACCUGAAUAAGGUUCUCCCCCUCAACCUUUUCUUCUAUUACCUCUUCAGCUCUUUCCACUGAUGCAUUUUGUAAAUUAUCAUUUUCGCCAUUUGGAUAACAUGCAUUUGCAUCAGCAGAAUGAGCUAGUUCAAGGACACCUUUUUCCUGUUGUAUAUUGACUACAACAUCACUAGUUGCCUCAGCCGACACUGAAUCCAUAGGACAGUCAUUGUGAGUUUCUUCUGCAGUUUCCACUUCAGGAACAUUACUAACUGCAAUUUCUACUUGAGCUGCAUUAUACACCUCAGCAUUUGCUUGCUCAAGCAAGGCUGCUGCUUUCAUGGCAGCUCUCUUCUUGUAAUGAGCUUCGAAAUAAGCUCUCUUCUGAGCAACAGAACCUGGCUUGGAAAACUGCUCAACUUCUUCUAAGUAGCGGUUGUGAGAGAAGGUUGACCACUUUUCCCAAGCUAAAGAUUCUGACAUAAAUCUCCCAAACGAGAUAGAUUCUGUUAGGGCUCUAAGAGGGUCACCCUGUAAUCCAACAGGUUUCCCAGGUUGCAUUAGUGCUGUUCUUUAUGUUAUUGAAAUCCAAAAAAACAAUAAACACAAAACUGCAGGAAAUUCCAGAGUUUUGCAUUUUCUUGAUUAGAAGCUCAACAUGUUCAUCCUUGAUACUAUAAUAAAAUAAAGUUGCUCAAGCUAUCUUAGGGAUAUUUAACCCAAGAAAAAUAAACUCAAAAGAAUUUAAAUAAAGAAAAGAAAGGCAAUCAUAAAUCAAUCCAAAUAUGUACCAGAAAAUGGCAAUCAUCAAAAUUAGUCGGAAUAAGUCAAGAGUAUGAAACAGAACAGAAGGCACCAACAAGCAACAUUAAAGCAAAUAAAAGAAAAAGCUUAAAGUAACUUCUUUUAUUAGGGGUGUCAAAGCAUUCAGCAUAAUCAAGAACUUGAUUCUUUAAUAGCCCUUUGUCCAAGAUUCCUCCAUUUCAACCACAACCCCUCUACAUUUUCCAAGAUUCAUCAAUAGCCAAAUAAGGAAUAGAGGUAAAAUAGCAAGAAUUCAACCCAAGCCCACGAAAGAUUGAUAAACAACAAGAAAUACCCUUUAAUUAAACUUAAAAUAAAAUGACAGCUUAUCAUAACAUAAUCUAUAGGAAGAAAGUUUCACUUACUAACCUCUUUGGCUUCACGGGAAGCAUUAGAUGGAUGAGAAAAUGAUCUCAUAAGACAAGUUGGUUCACCCAUCUCACUCUUCCGUAUAUCAAAUCCUUCUCUUUUCAAAACCCUUGUUUUUUUUUUUUUAUUUCUCUCCUUUAGUUUGAUACUGCUGGUUAUAGUUUUGCUUAUUCUA
rnacentral:misc_RNA from 1 species